rnacentral:tRNA from 1 species
AGAAACUUAGGAUAACCUCAAACCGAAGGCCUUCAAAGCCUUAAAUAAGAGUGAAACCCUCUUAGUUUCUG